rnacentral:rRNA from 1 species
CCCUUAGAUGUCCUGGGCCGCACGCGCGUUACACUGAUGCAUUCAACGAGCUUAUAACCUUGGCCGAGAGGCCUGGGCAAUCUUGUUAACGUGCAUCGUGAUAGGGAUAGAUUAUUGAAAUUAUUAAUCUUGAACGAGGAAUUCCUAGUAAACGCAGUUCAUCAAACUGCAUUGAUUACGUCCCUGCCCUUUGUACACACCGCCCGUCGCACCUACCGAUUGGAUGGUCCGGUGAAGCCUCGGGAUUGUGGCGGUUGCCUUUAUUGGUGGCCGCCGCGAGAACUUGUCUAAACCUUAUCAUCUAGAGGAAGGUGAAGUCGUAACA